rnacentral:rRNA from 1 species
GAUGAACGCUGGCGGCGUGCCUAAUACAUGCAAGUCGAGCGAACGGACGAGAAGCUUGCUUCUCUGAUGUUAGCGGCGGACGGGUGAGUAACACGUGGAUAACCUACCUAUAAGACUGGGAUAACUUCGGGAAACCGGAGCUAAUACCGGAUAAUAUUUUGAACCGCAUGGUUCAAAAGUGAAAGACGGUCUUGCUGUCACUUAUAGAUGGAGCCGCGCUGCAUUAGCUAGUUGGUAAGGUAACGGCUUACCAAGGCAACGAUGCAUAGCCGACCUGAGAGGUUGAUCGGCCACACUGGAACUGAGACACGGUCCAGACUCCUACGGGAGGCAGCAGUAGGGAAUCUUCCGCAAUGAGCGAAAGCCUGACGGAGCAACGCCGCGUGAAUGAUGAUGGUCUUCGGAUCGUAAAACUCUGUUAUUAGGGAAGAACAUAUGUGUAAGUAACUGUGCACAUCUUGACGGUACCUAAUCAGAAAGCCACGGCUAACUACGUG